AACGAACGCUGGCGGCAUGCCUAACACAUGCAAGUCGAACGAGCCCUUCGGGUCUUGUGGCGCACGGGUGUGUAACGCGUGGGAACCUGCCCUUAGGUUCGGAAUAACUCCCCGACAGGGGUGCUAAUACCGGAUAAUGUCUUCGGACCAAAGAUUUAUCGCACUUGGUUGGACCCGCGUUGGAUUAGCUGGUUGGUAGGGUAAAAGCCUACCACGGCGACGAUCCAUAACUGGUCUGAGAGGAUGGUCAGCCACACUGGGACUGAGACACGGCCCAGACUCCUACGGGAGGCAGCAGAGGGGAAUAUUGGACAAUGGGCGGAGGCCUGAUCCAGCAAUGCCGCGUGAGUGAUGAAGGCCUUAGGGUUGUAAAGCUCUUGUACCCGGGAUGAUAAUGACAGUACCGGGAGAAUAAGCUCCGGCUAACUCCGUG
rnacentral:rRNA from 1 species